GAUACGGUGGCCUAAUGGUUAGUGCAUUGGACUUGAAUCAGAUCGAGCGGUCUGGGUUUCAAGCCCUGGCCAGCUGGAUCA